rnacentral:rRNA from 1 species
GACGAACGCUGGCGGCGUGCUUAACACAUGCAAGUCGAACGGAAAGGCCCCUUUGGGGGUACUCGAGUGGCGAACGGGUGCGUAACACGUGAGUAACCUGCCCUUGACUUCGGGAUAACUUCAGGAAACUGGGGCUAAUACCGGAUAGGAAUCCUUGCUGCAUGGGGGGGGUUGGAAAGCUUCGGCGGUUUUGGAUGGACUCGCGGCUUAUCAGCUUGUUGGUGGGGUAGUGGCUUACCAAGGCUUUGACGGGUAGCCGGCCUGAGAGGGCGACCGGCCACAUUGGGACUGAGAUACGGCCCAGACUCCUACGGGAGGCAGCAGGGGGGAAUAUUGCACAAUGGGCGGAAGCCUGAUGCAGCAACGCCGCGUGCGGGAUGACGGCCUUCGGGUUGUAAACCGCUUUCAGCAGGGGCGAAGCUUGUGGUGACGGUACCUGCAGAAGAAGCACCGGCUAACUACGUG